AAGAAAAUGAGUGGCGAACGGGUGAGUAACACGUGGGUAACCUGCCCAUCAGCGGGGGAUAACACUUGGAAACAGGUGCUAAUACCGCAUAAUUCCAUUUACCGCAUGGUAGAUGGAUGAAAGGCGCUUUUGCGUCACUGAUGGAUGGACCCGCGGUGCAUUAGCUAGUUGGUGGGGUAACGGCCUACCAAGGCUGCGAUGCAU
rnacentral:rRNA from 1 species